CAAAACUAAAUAAAAAUUAUUUGUGUUCAAAAAAGUUUCAACAUAAACGAAAGCAACAUAAAUAAAAAAACGUAAGUGUAUUAAUUAUUCCAGGCAAUUGAAAGCACUGCAUGGAAGCCUUCAAGACACUAGAAAAGCAGAGAGUGAUUGAUGAAAUGUUCGUUGAUUUUAUAAUUUACGUAUACAUACAUACACACAUACGCUAUUUAUUCUACAUCUUAUCUAUAUCUAUGCUGCGAAGAAAUUUUACAGCCAAUAGUUCAAUGCAACUUACGCUCGCCAAUUAAAACUAUUUUUUAUCCAUUGAGGAAUGUCACUGGAAUACCAUAUAAAAAGGACUCCGUGCGUAUGUGAAGGACUUUUUGGAUUCGUAAUAACCGGCCUUGGAAUGUUCUGCCUCCUUUCAUUAAGUUUUGCGACAGUUUUAACAAUGAGAUUCUUCAUCCAUUGGCUUCAAUUGCUUUUCAGAAGCAUAUUCGAAUUUCUCAAUUUGGACGAAUUACUACUAGUGAAAUUGAAAGUAAAAUAGAAAUACAAAAUGAUACACCGUUUUACAUUUGUUCGCUCAUGAACAAGGCCUACAUAUGCGAGUAUAUUCUGAAAAUAGUGCUAACAAAAUAUAACCUUGUCUGGCCGUUCUCCCAGAACAUUUCGUUUACGUUUUAUAGACGAAAAAUUGUUCUUAAUUUAUGUUACUCAUACACCUUUGAUUUCAAUAAAAAAUGCCGAA